UACGUAGGGUCCGAGCGUUGUCCGGAGUUACUGGGCGUAAAGCGCGCGCAGGCGGCGGUGCUGGCCCGGCGUGAAAGCCCCCGGCUCAACCGGGGAGGGUCGUCGGGGACCGCACCGCUUGAGGGCGGUAGGGGCUGGUGGAAUGCCUGGUGUAGUGGUGAAAUGCGUAGAGAUCAGGCGGAACACCCGUGGCGAAGGCGGCCAGCUGGGCCGUCCCUGACGCUGAGGCGCGAAGGCGUGGGGAGCGAACGGGGAUUAAGAAACCCC
rnacentral:rRNA from 1 species